AUUGUUGGCUAGUAGAUCUAGAAGUGAGAACUGUUUUGUUCACCUUUGCCUAGCCCUUUCCUAGUUUGUCCAACACCAGUCCCCGUCCUUAGUUGAUCUUCUGGUGUAUGUUGCAUGCCCCAUUCUCCAUCUAGGUUUGAAGUGUUGAAUAGGGACAAGUUUUGGUUUGACUUGGAGCUCAAAAUCUCCCUCUGAUGUUGUUGUUGCUCUCCCUGCGUGUUAUAGGCUAAAAUUACCUCGUGGAUUCCCCUUUGAAGGCCAAUUAAGUGUCGAUGUUGAAGGUGGUGUUGAUGGAGGUGACCAUAACGAAGGACGAAGAUGAAGAUGGUCCAAGUUAGACUCAUUUUAGUCUAGAGAUCCAUGUACCUUAAGAUUUGGGUCUUCAUCUGGGCUUGGGUUGGAAUUUGUAAUACUACAACUUUUAGUGGACUUGAG
rnacentral:misc_RNA from 1 species